UACGUAGGGGGCGAGCGUUGCUCGGAUUUACUGGGCGUAAAGAGCGCGUAGGCGGCCAGGGAAGUCUGGUGUGAAAUCCCUCGGCUCAACCGAGGACCCGCAUUGGAGACUCCCUGGCUUGAGUCCAGGAGGGGAGGGUGGAAUUCCCGGUGUAGCGGUGAAAUGCGUAGAGAUCGGGAGGAACACCGGUGGCGAAGGCGGCCCUCUGGAAUGGUACUGACGCUGAGGCGCGAAAGCUGGGGGAGCAAACGGGAUUAGAUACCCCGGUAGUCCCAGCCGUAAACGAUGGGCGCUAGGUGUGGGAGGUAUUGAUCCCUUCCGUGCCGCAGCUAACGCAUUAAGCGCCCCGCCUGGGGAGUACGACCGCAAGGUUGAAACUCAAAGGAAUUGACGGGGGCCCGCACAAGCGGUGGAGCAUGUGGUUUAAUUCGACGCAACGCGAAGAACCUUACCAGGGUUUGACAUGCCGGUAGUACCGACCUGAAAGGGAAGGGAUCCCGCAAGGGAAGCCGGCACAGGUGGUGCAUGGCUGUCGUCAGCUCGUGUCGUGAGAUGUUGGGUUAAGUCCCGCAACGAGCGCAACCCUCACCCUCUGUUGCCAGCGGGUUAUGCCGGGCACUCUGAGGGAACUGCCCCGGUCAACGGGGAGGAAGGCGGGGACGACGUCAAGUCAUCAUGCCCCUUACGCCCUGGGCUACACACGUGCUACAAUGGCCGGUACAGAGGGCUGCAAACCCGCGAGGGGGAGCUAAUCCCACAAAGCCGGUCUAAGUUCGGAUUGCAGGCUGCAACUCGCCUGCAUGAAGGAGGAAUCGCUAGUAAUCGCGCAUCAGCACGGCGCGGUGAAUACGUUCCCGGGCCUUGUACACACCGCCCGUCACACCACGAAAGCCGGCUGUACUCAAAGUCGCUGGGCUAACCCGCAAGGGAGGCAAGCGCCAAAGGUAUGGUCGGUGAUUGGGGUG
rnacentral:rRNA from 1 species